rnacentral:rRNA from 1 species
GGAGCUUGCUCCUUUGACGUUAGCGGCGGACGGGUGAGUAACACGUGGGUAACCUACCUAUAAGACUGGGAUAACUUCGGGAAACCGGAGCUAAUACCGGAUAACAUUUGGAACCGCAUGGUUCUAAAGUGAAAGAUGGUUUUGCUAUCACUUAUAGAUGGACCCGCGCCGUAUUAGCUAGUUGGUAAGGUAACGGCUUACCAAGGCGACGAUACGUAGCCGACCUGAGAGGGUGAUCGGCCACACUGGAACUGAGACACGGUCCAGACUCCUACGGGAGGCAGCAGUAGGGAAUCUUCCGCAAUGGGCGAAAGCCUGACGGAGCAACGCCGCGUGAGUGAUGAAGGGUUUCGGCUCGUAAAACUCUGUUAUUAGGGAAGAACAAAUGUGUAAGUAACUGUGCACGUCUUGACGGUACCUAAUCAGAAAGCCACGGCUAACUACGUGCCAGCAGCCGCGGUAAUACGUAGGUGGCAAGCGUUAUCCGGAAUUAUUGGGCGUAAAGCGCGCGUAGGCGGUUUCUUAAGUCUGAUGUGAAAGCCCACGGCUCAACCGUGGAGGGUCAUUGGAAACUGGGAAACUUGAGUGCAGAAGAGGAAAGUGGAAUUCCAUGUGUAGCGGUGAAAUGCGCAGAGAUAUGGAGGAACACCAGUGGCGAAGGCGACUUUCUGGUCUGUAACUGACGCUGAUGUGCGAAAGCGUGGGGAUCAAACAGGAUUAGAUACCCUGGUAGUCCACGCCGUAAACGAUGAGUGCUAAGUGUUAGGGGGUUUCCGCCCCUUAGUGCUGCAGCUAACGCAUUAAGCACUCCGCCUGGGGAGUACGACCGCAAGGUUGAAACUCAAAGGAAUUGACGGGGACCCGCACAAGCGGUGGAGCAUGUGGUUUAAUUCGAAGCAACGCGAAGAACCUUACCAAAUCUUGACAUCCUUUGAAAACUCUAGAGAUAGAGCCUUCCCCUUCGGGGGACAAAGUGACAGGUGGUGCAUGGUUGUCGUCAGCUCGUGUCGUGAGAUGUUGGGUUAAGUCCCGCAACGAGCGCAACCCUUAAGCUUAGUUGCCAUCAUUAAGUUGGGCACUCUAGGUUGACUGCCGGUGACAAACCGGAGGAAGGUGGGGAUGACGUCAAAUCAUCAUGCCCCUUAUGAUUUGGGCUACACACGUGCUACAAUGGACAAUACAAAGGGCAGCUAAACCGCGAGGUCAUGCAAAUCCCAUAAAGUUGUUCUCAGUUCGGAUUGUAGUCUGCAACUCGACUACAUGAAGCUGGAAUCGCUAGUAAUCGUAGAUCAGCAUGCUACGGUGAAUACGUUCCCGGGUCUUGUACACACCGCCCGUCACACCACGAGAGUUUGUAACACCCGAAGCCGGUGGAGUAACCAUUUAUGGAGCUAGCCGUCGAAG